rnacentral:rRNA from 1 species
UUUCCUACGGGGGGCUGCAGUGGGGAAUUUUGGACAAUGGGGGCAACCCUGAUCCAGCCAUGCCGCGUGCGGGAAGAAGGCCUUCGGGUUGUAAACCGCUUUUGUCGGGGAAGAAACGGUCUGCGCUAAUACCGCGGGCUAAUGACGGUACCCGAAGAAUAAGCACCGGCUAACUACGUGCCAGCAGCCGCGGUAAUACGUAGGGUGCAAGCGUUAAUCGGAAUUACUGGGCGUAAAGCGUGCGCAGGCGGCUUUGCAAGACAGAUGUGAAAUCCCCGGGCUCAACCUGGGAACUGCAUUUGUGACUGCAUGGCUGGAGUGCGGCAGAGGGGGAUGGAAUUCCGCGUGUAGCAGUGAAAUGCGUAGAUAUGCGGAGGAACACCGAUGGCGAAGGCAAUCCCCUGGGCCUGCACUGACGCUCAUGCACGAAAGCGUGGGGAGCAAACAGGAUUAGAUACCCUGGUAGUCCAA